rnacentral:lncRNA from 1 species
AAUGAUAGAGCUUCCAUCUGAGCCUUUUCUCACUUGGGACAUUCACCCUUGAAAUCCAGCUACCAUGUUGUAAGGCAGCCCAAGCUACAUGGGGAGGCCACAUGGUAGAUGUUCCGGCCAAUGGCCUCAGUUGAGUUACCAACCAGCAGCCCACAUCAACCAGCAGACACAUGAAUGAGUGAGCGCUCUGAUGAUCUCUGCCUACAACCGUUGAGCCAUCCCAGCUGUUGCUGAGUGGAGCAGAGAGAAACAGUCUUCGCCAAACCCUGCCCAGGUUGUACAUCUAUGAGCAAAAUGCUAUUGUUGCUAUUUGAAGCCACUAAGUUUUAAGGCAGUUUGCCACAAAGCUAGGGAUACCUGGAACACUAUGUGUCAAGUCACUGGGCAGAGACAUCAUCUAAUUUAAUCUUUAAAACAGCUGCUUUGGAAGAUAUCCCUGCUUUAUAGAUGCAGAAUUAGGACUUGAAGGACCAAGAUCACAUUGCAAUAGGGAAGAAGAGAACAAAUCAGUUGGAAGAAACAGAAUGAGCAAAGUCAUGAAGACAUAAAAGCAAGGUGCCUCUGACUUUACAAUUCAAUAGAAUAAAAAACACAACAAUGAUGAAAAUGGUGUAAAAUCUGUUCUUUAUAAAGUGAC